AGUUCAGACCACCUGGAAACCCUCCCCAUGUCUUUUCAGAACAAUGUCCUAAGAACCAUAGGGGAAGUGGCCAUAAAAACCAUCUUUCCUUUGCAGACUGGGGUGGGGACUCUGGCCAAUGCCAUUCUGUUCUUCCAUAAUAUCUUUCCCAUCUUGACUGAGCAUCAAAUGAGGCCCACACACAAGAUUCUCACCCACAUGGCCGUGGCAAACUCCUUGGUUCUUCUUUCCACUGGAAUCCCCCACACAAUGGUGUCUUUUGUCCUAUGGAAACCCUUGUCCAGUCUUGAGUGUAAACUCGUGUUU
rnacentral:lncRNA from 1 species